rnacentral:rRNA from 2 species
UGAUUGACGGUGCUUGCACCUGAUUGAUUUUGGUCGCCAACGAGUGGCGGACGGGUGAGUAACACGUAGGUAACCUGCCCAGAAGCGGGGGACAACAUUUGGAAACAGAUGCUAAUACCGCAUAACAGCGUUGUUCGCAUGAACAACGCUUAAAAGAUGGCUUCUCGCUAUCACUUCUGGAUGGACCUGCGGUGCAUUAGCUUGUUGGUGGGGUAAUGGCCUACCAAGGCGAUGAUGCAUAGCCGAGUUGAGAGACUGAUCGGCCACAAUGGGACUGAGACACGGCCCAUACUCCUACGGGAGGCAGCAGUAGGGAAUCUUCCACAAUGGGCGCAAGCCUGAUGGAGCAACACCGCGUGAGUGAAGAAGGGUUUCGGCUCGUAAAGCUCUGUUGUUAAAGAAGAACACGUAUGAGAGUAACUGUUCAUACGUUGACGGUAUUUAACCAGAAAGUCACGGCUAACUACGUGCCAGCAGCCGCGGUAAUACGUAGGUGGCAAGCGUUAUCCGGAUUUAUUGGGCGUAAAGAGAGUGCAGGCGGUUUUCUAAGUCUGAUGUGAAAGCCUUCGGCUUAACCGGAGAAGUGCAUCGGAAACUGGAUAACUUGAGUGCAGAAGAGGGUAGUGGAACUCCAUGUGUAGCGGUGGAAUGCGUAGAUAUAUGGAAGAACACCAGUGGCGAAGGCGGCUACCUGGUCUGCAACUGACGCUGAGACUCGAAAGCAUGGGUAGCGAACAGGAUUAGAUACCCUGGUAGUCCAUGCCGUAAACGAUGAGUGCUAGGUGUUGGAGGGUUUCCGCCCUUCAGUGCCGGAGCUAACGCAUUAAGCACUCCGCCUGGGGAGUACGACCGCAAGGUUGAAACUCAAAGGAAUUGACGGGGGCCCGCACAAGCGGUGGAGCAUGUGGUUUAAUUCGAAGCUACGCGAAGAACCUUACCAGGUCUUGACAUCUUGCGCCAACCCUAGAGAUAGGGCGUUUCCUUCGGGAACGCAAUGACAGGUGGUGCAUGGUCGUCGUCAGCUCGUGUCGUGAGAUGUUGGGUUAAGUCCCGCAACGAGCGCAACCCUUGUUACUAGUUGCCAGCAUUAAGUUGGGCACUCUAGUGAGACUGCCGGUGACAAACCGGAGGAAGGUGGGGACGACGUCAGAUCAUCAUGCCCCUUAUGACCUGGGCUACACACGUGCUACAAUGGACGGUACAACGAGUCGCGAACUCGCGAGGGCAAGCAAAUCUCUUAAAACCGUUCUCAGUUCGGACUGCAGGCUGCAACUCGCCUGCACGAAGUCGGAAUCGCUAGUAAUCGCGGAUCAGCAUGCCGCGGUGAAUACGUUCCCGGGCCUUGUACACACCGCCCGUCACACCAUGAGAGUUUGUAACACCCAAAGUCGGUGGGGU